rnacentral:tRNA from 1 species
UAGCUCAGUUGGUGGAGCGCUCCACUGGAAAUGGACAGGUCCCGGGUUCGAUACCCGG